UUGCCACGUGAUUCGGAGCCAGGCUGACUCGCAGGCAGGGGGAAGGAGCAGGCGGGGAAGGGGUAAACCCCACCGGAGGAGCCCGACUCGCUCACAACGGCACAGGAGCAGCAAUAGUGGCGCCAGCGGCGGCGAGGAGGAGACUGGCGCCGGCAGUCAGCAGCAGCAGCAGCAGCAUAAGCUUAGCUCCGGCAACUCUGCGAGGCGCUGGCAGCAGCAGCAAACAGCAGCCAGACAAGCAGGUGCCCCACGCGCCGCACUAGACGCGCGCGCUCGCUCGCUCGCUCAAGAAGAGCAGCCCGGGAGAGGAGGGAGGCGGGGGCGAAAACGCACGCAAGGCGAAAAGCGGGGGGCGGUAUGAAGCGGCUCUUUCCACCGCUCCCGCAGACCACGUGAGAGCCCGCAGCGCCUCUGUGUGUGUGUUCGUGUGUCGGAGGCAUGGACGCUCCUUGAGAGGGGCACAAGAACCCCUUCCAUCGUGUGAAGAAAGUGAAAUGAUUGCAUUGAUUGGAAAUGGAAGAGGAUAAUAAGUAUAGGAACUGGGAAGGACCUCACUCGGCCCCAUUCGCAGUAUAUAACAGCUGUGUGAGGAGAGAUCCAAGAGAGAGAAUCAUCACACAUGACAACAUAAGCCGGGGAUUGUUCAGCAUCCAGCAAUCUCACAGCCAAGCAACCCUGUUGCUCCAGUUCCUUGGGACACAACUGCACUGUACUGUCCAUGACUGGGCCUGAACAUCUGCACUCACUUGCAACUACUUGCUGAUUCAUUAUCGUUAUAGUUUCUCUGUGUGUGCUUAUAUGCACAGUUCCAAUAGCAAUUCUAGUCUUGGUCUUUCUAAAAAUGCAUAUCUAUUUGCAGCACCCUAACUAGGUUAAAAAGUUACUCUGACACAGUAGAUAUAUAGAGAGAUCUCUUAGGUGCUUAUAACACUGCAUUGUUCAAGGCUAAUGUAAUGGCCUGGAGACAUUACUGCGUAUUGUUCCGUGGGAGAGAAUGGAUUAGAAAUUACAGCAGGACUACCAUUUCUCAGUGAGAGCUGAAAAAACGAAGUCCCAAUUUUCCAACGGUUUGAUCCAGUAGGAAGAAUUAGGAAAGAUGGUUGCUGAUCCAAUAGAAAUGGUACAAAGGCUGGCGCUUUGAUAUUCAUGAUUAAUAAGUUGAAGUAAACAAUGUAAAGCUAGUGUUAUAGGUUGAUGAGCAAGAACAUUGCCAAGCAUAGGUCAUGAGGCCCUGAGCAGCUGGCUGGAAGGAACAAUGUUUACUUAAUACCUGAAGGAGUAAGUCUGUUUAUCAGUCACUGGAUGUUCCCAGCUAUUUGUUUCUGGAAGUAUAAUUGUAUAUCAUAAAUGUAAAUGAUAUCUCAUCAGUUUUCUGUGUCGAUAUACAAGUGAAAACAUGCAGAAAAAAUUGUGAUUGGUUUAUUCUAGAUUCAGGCCUCUUGAGUCCUCUUGUACCCUUUCCACUAAUAUUCUAAUAUAAUUUUAAUAUAAUUCUGGAGUGAGCUCCCUGUUGUUGUGGGAGCUUCCCCAUCUCUAGCAUGUUUUGGAGGAGUGCUCAAAAUGCAUUUAUUUCAUUAGGACUUUGGUCAGCUGUAAGUUGUUUUUUUAUGGUUAUUGUUACUGCUGUUUAAUUGGUUGUUUUUCACUUUUAUUUUGUUAAAACUGUUUUAAUGUUGGUUUUAGUUCUGGUUUUAUUGUUCAUUUGUAAACCACAAUGAGACAUUUGCAUGAGAUGGUAUAUAAGAAUAUUAAUUAAAUAAAUAAAAGUACAUAGCCUCUUGUUACUAGGAUGUUGUGCUAACCACUGAGAAGUUAGAAUGUUUCUGGAUAUUCCAUGAAAUCACAGCACCUAAGAAGGCCUCAUUUUAAUAAACUAAAGCCAAAGAUCUGGCA